AUUUCUCCAUGAGGUAGACUUCAGGGCCUGUGUUCACGCAUGCCUUCCUGUAUCCACACUCUUGGGGAACUCUCUCACCUCCUGAGGCUAGGCUUGGACAGGUGAUUUAUUUUGGCCAAUAAGAUACCAAAAGUGUUGCAAGAGGAAACUUGAGAAUCAUUUGUUACUCCCGGAACCUGCCUGGGUGUGCACAAACCCUGACUGUUCUGACAGAUGACUGUGGCCCAGAAGCCUCAAAGUGCGGCUGAGCGGCCGCCUUGAAUCAUCCGGCCCACGGGCCCCGACCCCAGACGCCACACAGGAACCGUCUUGACCAGAUCCACCUAUGAAUGACUACAGGUGGGAAGAAAGUAACACACCCUCUGUGAAGGCUGACAGGAAUCAAGAAACGUUUGAUUCGUUCCCUGUCAGUUAAAGGAAGCCUGAGUUCUAACUCAGGACACAAGUCCACCAUCUUCGUGGGGUGCUGGCUUUCCUACUGAAGUCGCCAUUCCUUGCCCUGACAGCCUCUCAACUUAUGGCCUGUCCUGCGGAGAGCAGUACAAGCUUGUACUUGGAACCAGCUGGUGACUAGCUGGCCCUGGUUGGGGAUUUUCAGGUAAGGCCCUAGCAGCUGCAGGAACCACUUGUCCUGAGGAUCUUCCCUUCAAAAUUCCUGAAAGCAGCACCAGCUACCCAGCACUUGGCAACUGGAGCAAGGAAUUGACAUCCAGGAGCCAACGGGCUCGAUUCAGUAGGAUACUGGACCCUGAUACGUACCAGUGGGGAACUGCUGAAUGGGCACGGAAGGCACCUGCACGCCUUCAGACCAGUCUGCCACCUCAGGCUGAGCAGCCGUGAACUCUGGAGCUGGAGCGGUCCAUUCACCCUGAAACUCCUCCUUGGUCACAGCCUUCUCAGCUGCUGCCUGCUCUUCCUUUUCAAUCUAGUUUAGGAAAAUAUUUUUUGGUUUAUAUGCAAUGGCGGAUUAGUUUCUGUUGUUGGCAGUAAAAAGUAUCCAUGUACUUAUGUGAGUGACAACAAGCCCCUGUGGACGAAGCUCACCUCCUCAGGAUCUCUGUAGAAGUAGAGGUCCGGCAUGACCUCCCACGGGUGCUCUCGGGAGAUGGUGCCACGCAUGCGCAGGACUUCCCGGGCGAGCAUCCACCACAUCA